UACGUAGGUGGCAAGCGUUGUCCGGAUUUACUGGGCGUAAAGAGCGCGCAGGCGGUCGUUCAAGUCGCGUGUGAAAGCCCCCGGCUCAACUGGGCGGGGUCAGCGGAUACGGCGUAGCUGGAGCAAGCUAGGGGACAAUGGAAUUCCCGGUGUAGUGGUGGAAUGCGUAGAUAUCGGGAGGAACACCAGUGGCGAAGGCGGUUGCCUGGAGCUUUGCUGACGCUGAGGAGCGAAAGCAUGGGGAGCAAACGGG
rnacentral:rRNA from 1 species